AUUGAACGCUGGCGGCAUGCUUUACACAUGCAAGUCGAACGGCAGCACGGGGGCGAACCCUGGUGGCGAGUGGCGAACGGGUGAGUAACACAUCGGAACGUGCCCAGUUGUGGGGGAGUAACCUAUCGAAAGGUAGGCUAAUACCGCAUGAGCUCGGCAAGAGGAAAGCGGGGGACUCAGCGAUGGGCCUCGCGCGACUGGAGCGGCCGAUGUCCGAUUAGCAGUUGGUGGGGUAAAGGCUUACCAAGGCGACGAUCGGUAGCUGGUCUGAGAGGAUGAUCAGCCACACUGGGACUGAGACACGGCCCAGACUCCUACGGGAGGCAGCAGUGGGAAUUUUGGACAAUGGGGCAACCCUGAUCCAGCCAUGCCGCGUGAGUGAAGAAGGCCU
rnacentral:rRNA from 1 species